UCGAUGAAGAACGCAGCGAAAUGCGAUAAGUAAUGUGAAUUGCAGAUUUCAGUGAAUCAUCGAAUCUUUGAACGCACAUUGCGCCCCGUGGUAUUCCGCGGGGCAUGCCUGUUCGAGCGUCAUUUCAACCCAUCAUGCUUCGGCAUGGUCUUGGGGCCUGCGGUUUCGCAGCCUCUAAACGCAGUGGCGGUGCUAUUGAGCUCUGAGCGUAGUAAUUCUUCUCGCUAUAGGGUCUCGGUGGUGACUUGCCAACCAACCCCCAUUUUUAUCAGGUUGACCUCGGAUCAGGUAGGGAUACCCGCUGAACUUAA
rnacentral:rRNA from 1 species